rnacentral:rRNA from 1 species
CGGGUGAGUAACACGUGAGUGACCUGCCUUUUAGACUGGAACAACUUACCGAAAGGUGAGCUAAUGCCGGAUGAGUUAUAUAAGUGCAUGUUUAUAUAGGAAAAGCUGGGGAGACCUGACGCUGAAAGAUGGACUCGCGUCCCAUUAGCUAGUUGGUAGGGUAAUGGCCUACCAAGGCGACGAUGGGUAGCCGGCCUGAGAGGGUGGCCGGCCACACUGGGACUGAGACACGGCCCAGACUCCUACGGGAGGCAGCAG